UAUGUUUUGGUGUAUGGUGCACAUGAAUUUUUGAUAUUUUUGGUAAUAGUUCAAUUCUGUUAAAUAUAA
rnacentral:tRNA from 1 species